UGAAAGGCCAAUCAAACCGGGAGAUAGCUGGUUCUCCCCGAAAGCUAUUUAGGUAGCGCCUCGUGAACUCAUCUUCGGGGGUAGAGCACUGUUUCGGCUAGGGGGUCAUCCCGACUUACCAACCCGAUGCAAACUGCGAAUACCGAAGAAUGUUAUCACGGGAGACACACGGCGGGUGCUAACGUCCGUCGUGAAGAGGGAAACAACCCAGACCGCCAGCUAAGGUCCCAAAGUCAUGGUUAAGUGGGAAACGAUGUGGGAAGGCACAGACAGCCAGGAUGUUGGCUUAGAAGCAGCCAUCAUUUAAAGAAAGCGUAAGAGCUCACUGGUCGAGUCGGCCUGCGCGGAAGAUGUAACGGGGCUAAACCAUGCACCGAAGCUGCGGCAGCGACACUAUGUGUUGUUGGGUAGGGGAGCGUUCUGUAAGCCGUUGAAGGUGUAUCGUGAGGUAUGCUGGAGGUAUCAGAAGUGCGAAUGCUGACAUAAGUAACGAUAAUGCGGGUGAAAAACCCGCACGCCGGAAGACCAAGGGUUCCUGUCCAACGUUAAUCGGGGCAGGGUGAGUCGACCCCUAAGGCGAGGCCGAAAGGCGUAGUCGAUGGGAAACAGGUUAAUAUUCCUGUACUUGGUGUUACUGCGAAGGGGGGACGGAGAAGGCUAUGUUAGCCGGGCGACGGUUGUCCCGGUUUAAGCAUGUAGGCGGAGGUUCCAGGUAAAUCCGGUACCUUUUUAACGCUGAGGUGUGAUGACGAGGCACUACGGUGCUGAAGUAACAAAUGCCCUGCUUCCAGGAAAAGCCUCUAAGCAUCAGGUAACACGAAAUCGUACCCCAAACCGACACAGGUGGUCAGGUAGAGAAUACCAAGGCGCUUGAGAGAACUCGGGUGAAGGAACUAGGCAAAAUGGUGCCGUAACUUCGGGAGAAGGCACGCUGAUAUGUAGGUGAAGUGAUUUACUCAUGGAGCUGAAAUCAGUCGAAGAUACCAGCUGGCUGCAACUGUUUAUUAAAAACACAGCACUGUGCAAACACGAAAGUGGACGUAUACGGUGUGACGCCUGCCCGGUGCCGGAAGGUUAAUUGAUGGGGUUAUCCGUAAGGAGAAGCUCUUGAUCGAAGCCCCGGUAAACGGCGGCCGUAACUAUAACGGUCCUAAGGUAGCGAAAUUCCUUGUCGGGUAAGUUCCGACCUGCACGAAUGGCGUAAUGAUGGCCAGGCUGUCUCCACCCGAGACUCAGUGAAAUUGAACUCGCUGUGAAGAUGCAGUGUACCCGCGGCAAGACGGAAAGACCCCGUGAACCUUUACUAUAGCUUGACACUGAACACUGGUCCUUGAUGUGUAGGAUAGGUGGGAGGCUUUGAAGUGUGGACGCCAGUCUGCAUGGAGCCAUCCUUGAAAUACCACCCUUUAAUGGCUGGUGUUCUAACGUGGACCCGUAAUCCGGGUUGCGGACAGUGUCUGGUGGGUAGUUUGACUGGGGCGGUCUCCUCCUAAAGAGUAACGGAGGAGCACGAAGGUUAGCUAAUCCUGGUCGGAC
rnacentral:rRNA from 1 species